CUUUGCCUCUAGCUGAAAUCGGUAAAUCCCAAGUUGACUUCUUUGAUUGAUUGUGUCAUAUUUAUCUUGAACAUGUAUAACAAAAUAUGUAUUACAAUGCAGGUAUUAGUACUCUUUUGGCAAACUGUGAUGAUCUCAAAAUAAAUCAAGACCCAAGAACUGCUUAAGUUGUCAAGCAACUAAAUCAAGGCUUUAGCUUGUUAUAUGUGUAUUGAGUGAACCAGAAUUACUUCAAAGUUAGAGAAAUGGUUGUUUAUGUGAUGUAAGGUUGAAACUCAGAGAGAAAGCUCAAGAGUUGGAAUGCUUGAGGAGUUGAAAAGUGAAUGGUUCUUUCAAGAAUUCAGUUAGCAGUUUCAAUGGCUGUGAGAAGUAUAAAAGACCAAUGUGGACAAACACUGAAUUAGAAAAGCAUUAUGUG